rnacentral:rRNA from 1 species
GAUGAACGCUGGCGGCGUGCUUAACACAUGCGAGUCGAACGGGAAUUAUUUUAUUGACACUUCGGUCGAUUUAAUUUAAUUCUAGUGGCGGACGGGUGAGUAACGCGUGGGUAACCUGCCUUAUACAGGGGGAUAACAGUCAGAAAUGGCUGCUAAUACCACAUAAGCGCACAGAGCUGCAUGGCUCAGUGUGAAAAACUCCGGUGGUAUAAGAUGGACCCGCGUUGGAUUAGCUUGUUGGCAGGGUAACGGCCUACCAAGGCGACGAUCCAUAGCCGGCCUGGGAGGGUGAACGGCCACAUUGGGACUGAGACACGGCCCAGACUCCUACGGGAGGCAGCAGUGGGGAAUAUUGCACAAUGGGGGAAACCCUGAUGCAGCGACGCCGCGUGAAGGAAGAAGUAUCUCGGUAUGUAAACUUCUAUCAGCAGGGAAGAUAGUGACGGUACCUGACUAAGAAGCCCCGGCUAACUACGUG